GAUCCUGCGCCGAAGAUUUCCGGGGCUAAAACUUACUACCGAAGCUACGGCAUCAGUAAUGAUGGGUAGGGGAGCUUCCCAUACGGGUUGAAGCAUGACCGUAAGGCCAUGUGGACAGUAUGGGAGUGAGAAUGUUGGCAUGAGUAGCGAGAUGUGGGUGAGAAUCCCACAGGCCGUAAACCCAAGGUUUCCAGGGGAAGGUUC
rnacentral:rRNA from 1 species